rnacentral:rRNA from 1 species
GCGGGGCCUGCCUUGCUCAGGAAUGAGGAGGGUUGCUCGGGGGAGAACGUACUUGAGCGUGAGAGGUGAAAUUCUUAGACCGCUCAAAGACGAACUACAGCGAAGGCAUUCUCCAAGGAUACCUUCCUCAAUCAAGAACCAAAGUGUGGGGAUCGAAGAUGAUUAGAGACCAUUGUAGUCCACACCACAAACGGUGACCCCCAUGAAUUGGGGAGUUUUUGUGGCGGUGCCACCCGGCUCGUCCGGGGCAGGCACUCCGCAAUAAAGUAUUCAACCUACGUGCACGUUCCGUCCCGCCACGAGGUUACACUCGCGGCCUUGACGGGAACAUCCUCAGCACGUUCUCUUACUGUUUCACGCGAAAGCUUUGAGGUUACAGUCUCAGGGGGGAGUACGUUCGCAAGAGUGAAACUUAAAAGAAAUUGACGGAAUGGCACCACAAGAUGUGGAGCGUGCGGUUUAAUUUGACUCAACACGGGG